AUGGGAAUCGGGGCCUUUGGCCUUGAAUUGUAGUGUGAAGAUGUACUACCACUGGGCGUGCAGGUGUCAGCCUCUUGGAAAAGAGCAACAAAGAGGGUGAAAGUCCUGUCUUGCACCUGCAACAGCCGAAGUACGGUGUGCUUUCUUUGAGUCACGUUCCUUGGGCCUGGAGCGCAAAUUUGGUGGUAAUUUUCAUCACAAGCUAAAUACGUGCUCAAGCCCGGUAGUGAAUAAGUACCAUGAGGGAAAGGUGAAAAGGACUUUGAAAAGAGUGUUAAAAGUGCCUGAACUUGCUGGAAACAAGCGAAUGGAGCCAGUGAGCUUCAGCAGGGUUGUCGCGUGCUUCAGAAGUCCUGUGUUGUUGCAGAGAAAUCUGUAGUUGCAUGUUGCUUCUGUGUGUGCGUGGUGUUCCUUGCUGGACUUUUCAUUGCCAAUAUGUGGUUGUGCAAAGUGCUCUGGGCGUGCAGGGUUGCUGUGAUGUAGCUCUUUCCUGGGGGCAAGCUCAGCCACACAUUGUGACAAAAUCGUUGAAGUUCAUGUUUCAAUUGUGCAGCUCGUUGCAGCUAGUUCGUACCUGUUGCAUCAACUGGGCAUUUGGGGCAUCAUUUCAAUGCCAGGGCAGUGACUAAAUGGAUCCUCUCGACCCGUCUUGAAACACGGACCAAGGAGUCUAGCAUGUGUGCAAGCACAUGGGUGGGCAAAACCUGAUUGCGCAAUGAAAGUGUUUGCUGGGAAAUUUGCAUCAGCAAUGGACCAAUCAAUUGAGAGAGGUUUGAGUUUGAGCAUGUCUGCUAGGACCCGAAAGAUGGUGAACUAUGCCUGAGAAGGGCAAAUUCAGGGGAAACUCUGAUGGAGGCUNGNAGCGAUACUGACGUGCAAAUCGUUCGUC
rnacentral:rRNA from 1 species